GCCUACGACCAUACCACGUUGAGAACACCCCAUUUCGUCCGAUCUGGGAAGUUAGUACUUGGAUGGGUGACCGCCUGGGAAUACCGGGUGUUGUAGGCG
rnacentral:rRNA from 1 species